GCAAGGCAUGAAAGCCCAAACUAACAGCCCUACUGGGUGCACGAACCUUAGGGCGGGUCAGACCCCUAAACUCGGUUCAGUCUUAAAGCCAAUGGGAGAAGAAAAAACCCUAAAGAAAUUUCACAGCCAUUUCAAAAAAUUUCAUAAACACGAUCGAGUCAUCCCCCUCGAUACUUCUCCUUUCUCCUUCUAAUACCUCACACAUUCUCAGUGAAAAAAUGAAAACAACAAUCACAAUGAAAAAAAGACUCACUCUUAAAUCGCUCCCUCUCUCGAUCUGAGAAACCACUCAAAAUCUUUAAACAACGGUGACCAAACGCGUGAAACAAAAGGGGUUUUCACAAUAAUAAGUGAUGGUCCGUGAAGAAAAUCAACAACAAACAAUAUUCAGAAGCCGAAUCGAAACAACAAAAUGAUGAAAACGCGAACAAACUCAUAAGAAGCAAACAAAUCACCACAUCAAAGGAAACAUAAAUCCAACAAUGAUUACACAUCAAGCAAUGAUAAUACAUCAAGUCAAAAUAGCCAUGUCAACAAGUAUGAAAACGAGGAUUUAAAACAGAAAGAAUGAAGAAAAAGUAACACUGGCUACCACACAGCGGAAACUCGGCGACGAUUUAUGAGGCCAAAUUUGUGGUUUGAGGAAGAAAACUCAUGGGGCCUCACAUAUAGCCAAGUUUAAAAUAAAAUAAAAAAGACGACAAGCUUCAAUGGGUCCCCCACAUGGAAUAUUUUGUUAUUUUGUUUAAUGUAAAAUAAAUGUAUUAUUAUAUGAGAAUUUUUAUAAAUAGUGUAGUAAAAAAAUAUUUUAUACAAAAUAAAAUCAUGAUAUAAAUGAGAAUAUUUAAAUCUAA